rnacentral:rRNA from 1 species
AUGUCGGACUCGGACCAGAGCACCGUCGUCUUCGGGCUCCACCUGUGGGAGCUCGUUGGCAUCGGCGUCGGCGCCGCCUUCGUGCUCCUCCUUGUCCUCCUCUCCCUCCUGUGCCUUCUCGCCAACCGCCGUCGCCGCCGUCGCCGGGCCCCCGCCGCCCCCGUCCUCCACCUCGCCACCGUCGCGCCCAGUGCCCAUCCCAAGAACCCCACCAAGCCGCCCAAGGACAUCCAAGAGGUGCCCUCUCGCGGCGCGCAGGCCCCCGCGGGGGGCACCGCGCCCAAGGUGCCGCUCGCUCAGAUUCUCCAGGCGUCCCCGCAGGAGUCCAUCCAGAUCGAGACCGGCAAGGAGCACCGCAUCACGUUCCCGGAGCAGCCGCCGCCCCACCAUCAGCGUAGCGGGGGGCCGUCGUCGCGAGGGGCCAGCGGCGAGAGCCGCGGAGGUGGCCCGGAGCCGGGUGUGCCGGAGGUCUCACACCUCGGGUGGGGCCACUGGUACACUCUCAAGGAGCUCGAGGCAGCGACGGCAAUGUUCGCCGACGAGAAGGUGAUUGGCGAGGGCGGCUACGGCAUCGUGUACCACGGCAUUCUCGAGGACGGCACACAGGUCGCCGUCAAGAAUUUGCUGAAUAACAGGGGCCAGGCUGAGAGGGAAUUCAAGGUUGAGGUCGAAGCAAUCGGGCGGGUGCGGCACAAGAACCUCGUGCGGCUGCUUGGAUACUGUGCUGAGGGCAACCAAAGGAUGCUUGUGUAUGAGUUCGUCAAUAAUGGAACUUUAGAGCAAUGGAUUCAUGGUGAUGUUGGUCCUGUGAGCCCUCUUACAUGGGACAUACGAAUGAAGAUUAUUCUUGGAUCAGCAAAAGGUUUAAUGUAUUUGCAUGAGGGACUUGAGCCAAAGGUGGUUCACCGUGAUGUCAAGUCAAGCAAUAUCCUACUUGACAAGCAUUGGAACGCUAAGCUUUCUGAUUUUGGGCUAGCAAAGCUUUUGGGCUCGGAGAGGAGUUACGUCACGACCAGGGUUAUGGGGACAUUUGGGUACGUUGCUCCAGAGUAUGCAGGCACUGGCAUGUUGAAUGAAACUAGUGAUGUCUAUAGUUUUGGGAUUCUUAUUAUGGAAAUAAUAUCUGGUAGGGUACCAGUAGAUUACAACAGGCCACCUGGAGAGGUUAAUCUCGUUGAAUGGCUGAAGACAAUGGUCAGCAGCCGGAAUUCAGAGGGGGUUUUGGAUCCCAAGAUGACCGAGAAGCCUACUUCAAGGGCACUGAAAAAGGCUUUGCUAGUGGCUCUGCGAUGUGUAGACCCUGAAGCUCGCAAGAGGCCGAAGAUUGGUCAUGUGAUUCACAUGCUUGAAGUUGAUGAUUUCCCCUACAGAGAUGACCGCCGAGCUGGCAGAGCUCCAGGUCAAGCGAAAUUGGGGGAAACAGCUUCAGGCGAACCAGGCGAUAGUAGCGGGAAUGACACACCAAGGGACACGCCAAAAGGUCAAUCCAAACCCGACAAUUCAAGGUGGAGAAAUCAGGAGACCUAG